CAGUUCGGAUUGUAGGCUGAAACUCGCCUACAUGAAGCUGGAGUUACUAGUAAUCGCNGAUCAGAAUGCUGCGGUAAAUGCGUUCCCGGGUCUUGUACACACCGCCCGUCACACCACGGAAGUUGGGGGCGCCCGAAGCCACUUAGCUAACCCAUUUGGGAAGCGAGUGUCGAAGGUGAAAUCAAUAACUGGGGUGAAGUCGUAACAAGGUAUC
rnacentral:rRNA from 1 species